rnacentral:rRNA from 1 species
CCUACGGGAGGCAGCAGUGAGGAAUAUUGGUCAAUGGUCGGGAGACUGAACCAGCCAAGCCGCGUGAGGGAUGAAGGUACAGAGUAUCGUAAACCUCUUUUGUCAGGGAACAAAGGCGGGGACGUGUCCCCGGAUGAGUGUACCUGAAGAAAAAGCAUCGGCUAACUCCGUGCCAGCAGCCGCGGUAAUACGGAGGAUGCGAGCGUUACCCGGAUUUAUUGGGGUUAAAGGGUGCGCAGGCGGUGGGUUAAGUCAGCGGUCAAAGCCCGGGGCUCAACCCCGGCCCGCCGUUGAAAAUGGCAGUCUCGAGUUGGAGAGAAGUAUGCGGAAUGCGCGGUGUAGCGGGGAAAUGCAUAGAUAUCGCGCAGAACUCCGAUUGCGAAGGCAGCAUGCUGGCUCCACACUGACGCUGAGGCACGAAAGCGUGGGUAUCGAACAGGAUUAGAUACCCUAGUAGUC